AAGUCGUAACAAGGUUUCCGUAGGUGAACCUGCGGAAGGAUCAUUAUUGAAACUCACGGGGGCGCCGGUUUUGGCCUGCACCGGCGGCGACGCCGUGCUGCGGUCGGACUGGCGCCCUCUUCCAAAACCAAACACCUGUGAACCUUUGGGAUGGCGCUCUGUAGUGGAGCGCCGUCCCGUUUACCAAACUCUGAUGUCUAUUUGAAUGUAACUCGGGGCAGCCCCGAUAUUAAUUGUAACAACUUUCAACAACGGAUCUCUUGGCUCUC
rnacentral:misc_RNA from 1 species